rnacentral:rRNA from 1 species
UACGGGGUGCAGCAGGCGCGAAACCUUUACAAUGCAAGAGAGUGUGAUAAGGCUAUACCGAGUGCCAUCCGCUGAGGAAGGCUU